GUCUGAACCACAUAUAGGUGAUCGAGACCAAUGGAGUUGUUAUUUGAACUCAGGAGGUCCGAAUACCUCACCACACUAACGGCCGACCGGAUCGGUGCACUUUCGUUGUCAAAUAUUCGAGUGGGUUACGUCUACACACAGACGUCACUGGGACGAACGGAGGUGUGUUCCAUAUUCAGGGCACCAAGACCAAUCCAACGCACUAUGCCACCAUCCGUGUACAUGACCUGUGUUGCCUAGUGUAAUUAAUCUAGCAUAAUGGUCGUCAU